GUGGUGGCACCGGGCGUGCCGGCCCUGGGCUUGCCGGGCCCGGGCUUCGCGGACGUCGCCGUCGUUCGGGUCGACGCCGUGACCC
rnacentral:tRNA from 1 species